rnacentral:rRNA from 1 species
AUGCAGUCGAGCGGAGAUGAGGUGCUUGCACCUUAUCUUAGCGGCGGACGGGUGAGUAAUGCUUAGGAAUCUGCCUAUUAGUGGGGGACAACAUUUCGAAAGGAAUGCUAAUACCGCAUACGCCCUACGGGGGAAAGCAGGGGAUCUUCGGACCUUGCGCUAAUAGAUGAGCCUAAGUCGGAUUAGCUAGUUGGUGGGGUAAAGGCCUACCAAGGCGACGAUCUGUAGCGGGUCUGAGAGGAUGAUCCGCCACACUGGGACUGAGACACGGCCCAGACUCCUACGGGAGGCAGCAGUGGGGAAUAUUGGACAAUGGGGGGAACCCUGAUCCAGCCAUGCCGCGUGUGUGAAGAAGGCCUUUUGGUUGUAAAGCACUUUAAGCGAGGAGGAGGAGCUCUAGACUAAUACUCUAGAUGCUUGGACGUUACUCGCAGAAUAAGCACCGGCUAACUCUGUGCCAGCAGCCGCGGUAAUACAGAGGGUGCAAGCGUUAAUCGGAUUUACUGGGCGUAAAGCGUGCGUAGGUGGUCUUUUAAGUCGGAUGUGAAAUCCCUGAGCUUAACUUAGGAAUUGCAUUCGAUACUGGGAGACUAGAGUAUGGGAGAGGAUGGUAGAAUUCCAGGUGUAGCGGUGAAAUGCGUAGAGAUCUGGAGGAAUACCGAUGGCGAAGCAGCCAUCUGGCCUAAUACUGACACUGAGGUACGAAAGCAUGGGGAGCAAACAGGAUUAGAUACCCUGGUAGUCCAUGCCGUAACGAUGU